rnacentral:lncRNA from 1 species
CUCCAUGCACUACUAUCCUACCUUCAGUCUUGGCAGUUACUACUUUGCACCCUGUGAAAGCCCAAGUGCUGCAGAGAGAUUUCUCCUCUCUCUGCCUUGCUCCUACCCUGCCAUGAGCCAUUGUCUUAACUUGGGAAAGGUCUGAGCACCUUAUAUGGGGUGUCUCUAAGCUACCCUGCCCUCCUCCCAGCCUUCAGCGUACUAUUCAUGUACACUGCUGAAGGCCUAUGGGGAAUGGUUGGCAGUUAGGUGCAUUCUCUUUCUGUGGUUGAGGUUUCUUGGGAUUCUAAUGCUUCAUGCCAGCUCACAUGCAGUCUUUACAAAUUCAUUAAAAUAUGGCUGGUUUUUCCUCAUCACCUGCUAUGAUAUAUUCUUUCCUCUUUCAGCUGCUCUGCUAGAAUGCAAACAGAUACAGAUCUCUACUGUUAGAAAAAGGAAUCUUCUGCACCUUCUGACUUUUCAUUUAGUUAGAUUAUUUCUGUCCUCAGAUCUCUGGUGGGUUUAAAAAACCAUGCUUUUGUUGCUUAUCUGGUUUAUGGUUAUUGUUGGGGAUCUGGCGUUGCUGUGAGCUGUGGUGUAGGUCACAGACGUGGCUCGGACCCCACAUUGUUGUGGCUGCGGCUGUGGUCUAGGCCGGCAGUUGUAGCUCUGAUUCAACCUUUAGCCUGGGAACUUUGCUAUGUUGCGGGUGUGGCCCUAAAAAGUAAAAAAAAAAAAAAUUUUAAAUAACUAAAACACAAGAAGAAACAAGCCCAAAUAAACAAAAGGCAGCAGGAAAAAAAAUAUAUAAACUGAAAUGUCAGACUCCCAAGAUUGAUAUUGAAAUUAUUAGAUACAGAUUAUACAGCAAGGAUGUUGAUCUACCUAAAUUUUAGCUGCAUGAAUGAAAAUGAGAAUUUUAAAAUCAUAGUGUUGGGCAAAAAGAAGCAAGUCCCAAAUCAAUAAAAUGGAGAAAUGAGUUUUAGUCUAUUUAUACAACACAUAUCACAGAGCAGUUUAAAAAAUGUACUAGAGCUAUGCUUACCAGGAUGGAAGAAUCUCAGAAAUAGAAUGAUGAGUGAGAAGGGCAUUAAUAAAUACAUAUGAUAUGAGCUCUUUUAUGUAAGUUUCAAGACCUGGGAAAAUUAAAUAUUCUAUUGUUUAGGAAUAUAGCAUAUAUUAUAAAACUAUUUUUUAAAGUAGCUGGUAGUUUAUAAUACAGGAUAGUGGUUUCAUAUGGAUGAGAAAGAGAGGGAAAGAGGGGCCAUGGUGAGCUGAAAAAGUUUGUUGGGUUGUGUUUUCUUUCUUUUUUUCUCUUUUGGCUGCCCCACGUCAUAUGGAAUUUCUGGGCCAGGGGUCAGAUCCGAGCUGCAGUUGCAUCCUAUGCCACAGCUAUGACAACGUCAGAGCCUUAACCCACUGUGCCAGACUGGGGAUUGAACCUGUGUCCCAAUGCUUCAGAGACACUACUGAUCCUGUUGGCCACAGUGGGAACUCCAGGGUUGUAUUUUAUUUCUUGAGCCAGGAGGUUUAAUAUACGGGUGUUUAUUAACAUUAUUUAAGGGAGUUCCCGUCGUGGCACAGUGGUUAACGAAUCCAACUGGGAACCAUGAGGUUGCGGGUUCCAUCCCUGCCCUUGCUCAGUGGGUUGAUGAUUCGGCGUUGCCUUGAGCUGUGGUGUAGGUCACAGACGUGGCUCGGAUCCCACAUUGCUGUGGCUCUGGCGUAGGUCAGCGGCUACAAGUCCGAUUGGACCCCUAGCCUGGGAACCUCCAUAUGCCGCGGGAGCGGCCCAAGAAAUGGCAAAAAGACAAAAAAGAAAAAAAAA